GCUUAAAUCAUCAAACUGGAAAAGAUAACAAAGGUGCCCUUGCCAUCAUAAUUUCUGAUAAUAUCUUUAUUCUACUGGUUUGUGUUUUCUAAUAAAAUUAAUUCACAAAAAUGGUGAAUUUGGAACUAUGUUAAACUGCUGGAGGAAAGUACUACCAAAUGUUUUUAAUGCAGAAGAUAAGCACCACAAAUCAUAAAUGUUGGACAAAGAGCAUAUGCUUGACUACUUUAGCCAUUUUUAUUGCAUGUUCAUCCAUUUUAAAGCGGGCCUUGUUGGAGAAAACAUCUGUUUAUUGGCAUCAUCAGAAAAAACAGAAGAAUUCUUGAUAAUCAAAUGUUAGAAUUUUUAAGUCCCAUUUGUCAUUUAAAGUGUAACAAGCAAGUAGAGGAAAAUUCACAAUUCCCAAACGUAGCAAGUAAAAUUCUAUGUUAUUGACAGAGAGUUUAAAAUUCCUUAUAAACAGAGGCCAAAAAAAUCAAUUGCAAUAAAUAAUGCACAUGGGUAAUGUCAUCUAUAGGCAUGAUUUGCAAGACGCAAUAAAUGUUUAUCAGAGUGGUUGCACAAACCUGACCCAGAAAAGCAUUAAUUGUUGGAAUCAAUAAAAGGCAGAACAAUGGCAUCUAUCAUAGAACAAAAGAUAUUGUGGUACCCCAAAACUAAGCAUUUCAUUAUUAUGACAAAGUUGAGUUGCUAUGGCUCUGUUUCUUUAUUUUUUUUUAUAAAACUCACAACAAGCCAUUUGCACCACCCUUUUUAAGGUUGUCA
rnacentral:misc_RNA from 1 species